rnacentral:rRNA from 1 species
GACGAACGCUGGCGGCGUGCUUAACACAUGCAAGUCGAACGGUGAAGCGCCUUCCUUUUUGGUGGGUGUGGAUGAGUGGCGAACGGGUGAGUAACACGUGAGUAACCUGCCCCCUUCUUCUGGAUAACCGCAUGAAAGUGUGGCUAAUACGGGAUAUUCUGGGUCUGUCGCAUGAUGGGUCUGGGAAAGAUAUUGUUUCGGUGGGGGAUGGGCUCGCGGCCUAUCAGCUUGUUGGUGGGGUGAUGGCCUACCAAGGCGGUGACGGGUAGCCGGCCUGAGAGGGUGGACGGUCACACUGUGACUGAGACACGGCCCAGACUCCUACGGGAGGCAGCAGUGGGGAAUAUUGCACAAUGGGCGCAAGCCUGAUGCAGCGACGCCGCGGGAGGGAUGGAGGCCUUCGGGUUGUGAACCUCUUUCGCCAGUGAAGCAGGCCUGCCUCGUUUGUGGGUGGGUUGACGGUAGCUGGAUAAGAAGCGCCGGCUAACUACGUG